GAAAAACUAAAAUCACUUUGAACCGGCGCACUUAGCAAAAUUUUUAUGUUUAGCGCUCCACCAAAUUAAAAAAAAAAUCCAUUUGUUGCCAAACAAAACCUAAUUUUUCUCAUAUUUGCCUCAUUAUCUUCUCCUCAUACCUCUUCGUUCUCUUCGAGACCUUUAAUUUUUUAUAAAGUAACGCUCUCUCAUUUUUUUUUUGUCUCACCUUCAACCCUAAAUCCCCUUUCUCCAUCUCCAAAAAAACAACAGAUCUAAAAAAACACAGAUCUUCCACUUAUCCAUACUUUGAAGAUCCUCUUCUCCUCAUCGUCUUUCUCCAUCUCCAAAUUGUCGCCGCGUCAUCAAUCUUCCAUAUCUGAGAACGACCGAUGGUACUAGAUCCGCCGGGGGUCAAAAUUUCUCCGAUUUGGUCUGGUUCGAGCUCAAGUAUCCUUCAUCCUGAAUCGGGUCCGUUGGUUUCUCCAUCUAUAGACUUGGCUGGUUUGUUGUGGUUCGAGCUAUGGCGAAGUCUCAAACAGAUCAGAGGAAUAAGAGAGGGAGAAAGAAAGAGUCUUGGUUUGAUGAAUCCUCUAAAAAAAAUUCGUUUCCAAAUCCUUCUUCUUCGUCAUCUCCGUGGGCAUUUGCGUUCCACAUUUUUUCUUGUUACUUCUUCAUGUCUAGCUUCUUGUUCUUCUUCGUAUUCGUGAGUCUCUUUCAAAUCUCUCUAUCAUUAUCAGUUUUCAACUUCUGGGUUUAGGUAACUUCUUCAUCAUUAAAAUGUUGUUUCAUGAUAAUAAAAAGUCAAGUCCGAGUUCGUUUCUAUCUCUAGUUAUAAUCGUUACUGAUGUGAAAGUUUCUUAUACUCAUAUGAGUUACAGCUUACUGUGAAUUUGUGAUGGUGAAGAGACUUGAAGGUGCUAAAACGGUGAUGACGAGUGAAGAAGCGAGUGAUGGUAGAUGUAUCAAAGAUUGUCGCCAAAGCAAGAAGCUGCUUGUUCGCAUCAAGCAAACUCAAGUGAGAUUUUCUAAUUUACCAUGCUCGAGUCUUCUGAAUCGUAAUGUUCAUUGAGAAUGAUGACGAUUCUAAUGGGCAAGAAGAGUAUGUGAUAUCAUUGAAGGAAAGGUAUGUGAAUCAACUGACUCUAUCAUCAGUAUCUUGAAAUGUUGGUGAUGGUUAUGACUAACAUUUCUCUCUUUCUUUAAUUGGAGCGUCAUCUUGUGCUUGGUGUGAUUUCGUGAGGCUAUAAUGCUGCUACUGCUAUUUGUUUUUGGUAAUGGUGAAUGUGUAAAUAAUCUUUAUUAUUGUUGUUCUGUCUAGAUACAGUUGCUAGCAGACUUAAACUUGAAGAAAACUCCCAGCUGGUGGAGUUGGUUGCUGAUAGCAAUAUAAAAUUACUCACUCAUAGUGAAAAUUUUGACUUUGUUUUGAGCACAAGGAGCUUAUAGUGUCAUUCGGGCUAUUCGAGAUUGAAGAGCAUGUUGGGAGUGAAGAAGAAUGUCAUUCAGGCUAUUCAAGAAGCUUGAAGAACUUGUUAGGAGUGAAGAACAUGAUUCCUAGUUGUAUAGUUAGUCUAAGACUUGGUUUGAUAUAACUUGGAUGGUAUGUUCAAACCCUUAUGAUUAGUAUUCUUGUUGUGAAGAGUAGUGCUAAAGUAGUAUAUAGAAGUGUGGAUAUUAGUUUAACUAUUGGAUUGAGACUUACGUUGUAUGAAUUGAUGUUUGGUUUAUGAAAUGAUGUUAUAUCU